rnacentral:rRNA from 1 species
GAUGAACGCUAGCGGCAGGCUUAACACAUGCAAGUCGAGGGGUAUAAGUAGCUUGCUACUUAGAGACCGGCAAACGGGUGCGGAACACGUACACAACCUACCUUUUUCUUGGGGAUAGCCUUCUGAAAAGGAGAUUAAUACCCAAUAGUAUAAUGGAUUGGCAUCAAUUUAUUAUUAAAGAAUUUCGGAGAGAGAUGGGU